GGUGUAACGAUCAGUUCAGCACUUUGACAUGUUAAUACACUGAACGUGUUAUUUCACCAGAGCGCGCACACAGAGCGUGCUAACUGGCUAGCUGCUUCACGUAGGAGUGAACGGAGCCGUGUUAGCUUGUCUUAGCUUGUGUUAGCUCGACAGGUUUAAUCGUUGCGGCUUCUGUUUAAGUACGUGACGGUUGAAGCCGCCGCCUCGCAUGACACUGAGCGUGUCAAUCGUAUAGUAUCUACAUAAAAUACGUGAAACACGUGAAACCAGAACACAUUCGGUUUGGACGGAGAGCCGAGUUGUGAUGCUGCAGCGGCCGCCAUGUUUGUUUCCACUGCGCAGGCGCGGCGGUGUGACGAAUCGUUUAUCUGAUCGUUUCUGCUCAUCGAGCUCGAAGUUGCGAAUAGUUUUGAAAUACCCGGUAAAAAGUCGGCGAGAGGAUCUUUGACUGAGAUGGUGCAGGUUUCAUCACCCGGAACCUUCUGAUCCGGAUUCUGAGUUCUGUGAGCAGCUUCUUCUUCUCCUCAUCCAGAUGAUGGUUGGACACGUUCUGACGUCACUCUGAUGUGUUUACACUCUGAAGUUACGAGGAUGUGACGGCGUCCUCAGAUCAGAUGCACACAGACACCAGGACUGACCAGGAAGAAACGAGCAGCUUCUUCUCUCCCAGUGUUUCCUCCACACAUGAAGCUGGAAAGUGUCUGAAAGUUGACCUGAGUUCUUGUGUGAAGUCUUCAGCAUUGAGCCAACAUGUGGUUACUGUUCUCGCAUCAGUCAUCACGCAGACCAACGGACGAGAUCUGCACUCGGAAUGAGGAAGUUAAACUCUGCUGUGGUUUUGACUAUCUAUGGACAAAUCCUGUGAGAAGCUUAGAGCCAUAGUCUUAGAACAACUUCAGUGUCCUGUAUAUAAUGUAAUAAAUAAUGAAUUACUUAUUAAACCUCUUUUUAGUUACUUUGAACAAAAUGCCCAAAUCACCUCUGUAGAACAGUUAAACAGCUGUGAUCUGUUUGAAUAAACGAUGGACUCACUGGA